CCGAAAACUGAGGGUGGCCUUGGCCUUCUUGAUCUCCACAUCUUUAACCUGGCCAUGUUGGCUAGACAAGGUUGGAGACUACUACAAGGCCCCGAGUCUCUAUGUGGGAGGGUGCUGCGGGCUAAAUAUUUUCCUGACGAGAAGCUUCUGGACCCUAUUCCCGCCCCUGGCAUAUCGUACACUUGGCGCAGCAUCCUAAAAGGGGUGUACUUAUUAAAGGAAGGGAUUAUCUGGAGAGUGGGGGAUGGGACUAACAUCAAGGUGUGGGAAGAUCCUUGGAUCCCCGAGGGCGAUACAAGGAGGCCUAGAUCUCUCCCUGGGUGCUCCCCAAUCACUCUUGUAGCAGAUUUGCUCAAUCCAAACAUUGGUGGCUGGGACAAGGCGUUGGUCCGUGAUCUCUUUCAGGAGGAAGACGCAAAGAUUCUCUCCAUUAGCAUUUGCCAAGGGAUGGAGGAUAAUUUUGCUUGGCACUUUGAUCAGCGUGGCAUCUUCUCUGUCAAGUCUGCUUAUAAGAUUGGUGUUAUGCUGCACGAUAGAAGGCUGGGAAGAGAUGCUCCAAGCUCUAAGGAAAAUUCUGCUAACAGCACUGUCAAAUUUGAUUGGAAGCAUGUCUGGUCCGUGAAGGCCACCAGCAAAGUAAAGAUGUUUGUGUGGCGCCUUGCCCACAAUAGUCUGGCUAACCGCAUGAAAAUUUAA
rnacentral:rRNA from 1 species